rnacentral:RNase_P_RNA from 1 species
GGAGUCGGCCAGACAGUCACGGGGUACGCAAGUGCCGCGAGGAAAGUCCGGGCUCCACAGGGCAGGGUGCCAGGUAACGCCUGGGCGGCGUGAGCCGACGGAAAGUGCAACAGAGAACAGACCGCCGAACGGUGCCGCAAGGCAUGCGUGGCAAGGGUGAAACGGUGCGGUAAGAGCGCACCGCGUGCGGGGACAACGCCGCACGGCAUGGCAAACCCCACCCGGAGCAAGACCAAAUAGGGGAGCAUUGGCGUGGCCCGCGCUGCUCCCGGGUAGGUUGCUCGAGCCUGGCGGCGACGUCAGGCCUAGAGGAAUGACUGUCCACGACAGAACCCGGCUUACCGGCCGACUUUUUUU